ensembl:snRNA U6 U6 spliceosomal RNA
GUGCUUGCUUCGGCAGCACGUAUACUCAUAUUGGAACAAUACAAAGAAGAUUAGCAUGUCCCCUGCACACGGAUGAUAUGCAAAUUCAUGAAGCGUUCCCUAUUUUU